CAGCAAUGGAUCUCUUGGCUCUCGCAUCGAUGAAGAACGCAGCGAAUCGCGAUAAGUAAUGUGAAUUGCAGAUUUUCCGUGAAUCAUCGAAUCUUUGAACGCACCUUGCGCUCCUCGGUAUUCCGUGGAGCAUGCCUGUUUGAGUGU
rnacentral:rRNA from 1 species